rnacentral:lncRNA from 1 species
AAAUGAUACGUUGUUACCAAGGACGAUAAUGUUUAUCAAGCAUAGGUCGUUGUGUGCCAUAUAGGUUGGUUGUCUUCUUAACCAAUGAGUGUGGAGACACUGGUAUGGCAUACAGGUGAGAUGUAAGGGUACAUCUGCACUGAACGUGACCAACUCCGGAGCUAUUUCUGCUGUCAAGAUUUGCUCCGAUGGAAUAUGGGUAUAAAUGUCCCUCCGACCUGAGACCACCAUGGUGACUUGCAAGCAACUCACUGCACUUAGGCACUGAACUACCUGAAUUUCUAAUUCAGCGACGGAAGGCUGUUGGGUGUAGUCAAGUACUUGACUUGUCGGUGCAUGUGUCAAGAUGGGAUUGACCACUCCAGUUUAGGAGCUGUGUACAGUCGUGUUUCAAUUUAGCAAAACCUUGGCCAGGGUAGUCCUUGUGAGGAGUCAUAGGACUGUUUGAGUUGAGCACGAUUCGGAUGAUCUGAUCAGGGUUGACAGUUUAACCCUGAGUCAUCCUAAACACAGGGGUCAAAAGGAUGAAUUAUAUAGUAACCAUAUUCAUGUAGGUUCUGAGUGUUGUGAUUGCGACUCUUCGACCUAUCCGAACGUC